rnacentral:rRNA from 1 species
GGCCUACCAUGGUGGUAACGGGUAACGGGGUGUUAGGGCACGACACCGGAGAGGGAGCCUGAGAAACGGCUACCACAUCCAAGGAUGGCAGCAGGCGCGCAAAUUACCCAAUCCCGACACGGGGAGGUAGUGACAAUAAAUAACAAUACGGGGUUCUUCGAAUCUCGUAAUUGGAAUGAGUACAAUUUAAAUCUCUUAACGAGGAACAAUUGGAGGGCAAGUCUGGUGCCAGCAGCCGCGGUAAUUCCAGCUCCAAUAGCGUAUAUUAAAGUUGUUGCAGUUAAAAAGCUCGUAGUUGAAUUUCGGGAUCAGCAGGUUGGUCUUGCCACUGGUAUGUACUAGCUUGCUGAUUCCUCCUUCUUGUAGAACCGUAAUGCCAUUAAUUUGGUGUUGCGGGGAAACAGGACUGUUACUUUGAAAAAAUUAGAGUGUUUAAAGCAGGCUAGCGCCUGAAUACAUUAGCAUGGAAUAAUGAAAUAGGACGUUCGAACCUAUUUUGUUGGUUUCUAGGAUUGACGUAAUGAUUAAUAGGGAUAGUUGGGGGCAUUAGUAUUCAAUUGCCAGAGGUGAAAUUCUUGGAUUUAUUGAAGACUGACUACUGCGAAAGCAUUUGCCAAGGAUGUUUUCAUUAAUCAAGAACGAAAGUUAGGGGAUCGAAGACGAUCAGAUACCGUCGUAGUCUUAACCAUAAACUAUGCCGACUAGGGAUCGGAUGAUGUUAAUUUUUUAAUGACUCAUCGGCGCCUUACG